rnacentral:lncRNA from 1 species
CCCGGGUCCCUUUCUCCCCAGACCUGUUGAUUCCCUCCUCGUCAGACCUUGGGGUCACACACGUCUUUUGUACCUUCCUCACAUCCCUACAACAUCAAUAGCACUGGGCAGGUUUGUCUAAUAAACUUUUUGCGCUUCCUGGCUGGCCACUGAAAAUGCAGUUAGGCUCCUGGAGCUUUAAGAAGCUCCGGGCGUCCUGCCAGCCUGGAAAGUCUUGGCUGAGCCCCGGAUCCUCAGUUCCAGCCGCUCCCUGCUUCCUCCUUGCAGGCUGUCUGGCCUCCCUCACACAAAUCCUGCUCACAGGCAAGCCGCUCCCAGGAGAAGUCCGCUCAGCAGAGCUCCGGGGGCGUGGCAUGGCGGUGCUGAGGCCUGGUGCCUGAUCCCCCGAUCUGGUCUCCACUGCAAAAGCUUCGCCCGCAGGACUCAGGGACCGCCUGCGUCCUCUACCUGGGGUGCAGAAAGGGGACAGAGCUGGUGUCCAGCAUCCUCUCAUCUAGGCCACCAAGGAGCAGUUGGAGGAACCACAAGGUGCGAGAACUGGUGCAAAGGGAGAAUCAAGAGGGCCCUGCUCAGCCCAGCAGCCAUGGAGCAAACCCUUUACAAAGAGCUUCUGGGCCACACAGGUCCGGGGCAUUUCUGGGUACCUGUCAUCUGCAGUGCUGACUUUCAGAGGAGGCGCACUUUGAACGUGGACUUGAAGAACUCAAC